rnacentral:rRNA from 1 species
UACGGGGGGGGCAAGCGUUGUUCGGAAUUACUGGGCGUAAGGGGCUCGUAGGUGGCCAACUAAGUCAGACGUGAAAUCCCUCAGCUUAACUGGGGAACUGCGUCUGAUACUGGAUGGCUUGAGUUUGGGAGAGGGAUGCGGAAUUCCAGGUGUAGCGGUGAAAUGCGUAGAUAUCUGGAGGAACACCGGUGGCGAAGGCGGCAUCCUGGACCAACACUGACACUGGAGGAGCGAAAGCCAGGGGAGCAAACGGGG